rnacentral:rRNA from 1 species
AAAUUGAAGAGUUUGAUCAUGGCUCAGAUUGAACGCUGGCGGCAGGCCUAACACAUGCAAGUCGAACGGUAACAGAAAGCAGCUUGCUGCUUUGCUGACGAGUGGCGGACGGGUGAGUAAUGUCUGGGAAACUGCCUGAUGGAGGGGGAUAACUACUGGAAACGGUGGCUAAUACCGCAUAACGUCGCAAGACCAAAGAGGGGGACCUUCGGGCCUCUUGCCAUCAGAUGUGCCCAGAUGGGAUUAGCUAGUUGGUGAGGUAACGGCUCACCAAGGCGACGAUCCCUAGCUGGUCUGAGAGGAUGACCAGCCACACUGGAACUGAGACACGGUCCAGACUCCUACGGGAGGCAGCAGUGGGGAAUAUUGCACAAUGGGCGCAAGCCUGAUGCAGCCAUGCCGCGUGUAUGAAGAAGGCCUUCGGGUUGUAAAGUACUUUCAGCGGGGAGGAAGGUGUUGUGGUUAAUAACCGCAGCAAUUGACGUUACCCGCAGAAGAAGCACCGGCUAACUCCGUGCCAGCAGCCGCGGUAAUACGGAGGGUGCAAGCGUUAAUCGGAAUUACUGGGCGUAAAGCGCACGCAGGCGGUCUGUCAAGU